ACGGGAGGCAGCAGUGGGGAAUAUUGCACAAUGGGCGAAAGCCUGAUGCAGCGACGCCGCGUGAACGAUGAAGUAUUUCGGUAUGUAAAGUUCUAUCAGCAGGGAAGAUAAUGACGGUACCUGACUAAGAAGCACCGGCUAAAUACGUGCCAGCAGCCGCGGUAAUACGUAUGGUGCAAGCGUUAUCCGGAUUUACUGGGUGUAAAGGGAGCGUAGGCGGCUUUGCAAGUCUGAUGUGAAAGCCCGGGGCUCAACUCCGGUAUUGCAUUGGAAACUGUAGAGCUAGAGUGUCGGAGGGGUAAGUGGAAUUCCUAGUGUAGCGGUGAAAUGCGUAGAUAUUAGGAGGAACACCAGUGGCGAAGGCGGCUUACUGGACGAUUACUGACGCUGAGGCUCGAAAGCGUGGGGAGCAAACAGGAUUAGAUACCCUGGUA
rnacentral:rRNA from 1 species